UACGUAGGGCGCAAGCGUUAUCCGGAAUUAUUGGGCGUAAAGGGUGCGUAGGCGGUUUGAUAAGUCUGAUGUGAAAUCUAUGGGCUCAACCCAUAGUCUGCAUUAGAAACUGUCGGGCUUGAGUAUGGGAGAGGUGAGUGGAAUUUCCGGUGUAGCGGUGAAAUGCGUAGAUAUCGGAAGGAACACCUGUGGCGAAAGCGGCUCACUGGACCAUUACUGACGCUGAUGCACGAAAGCUAGGGGAGCAAACAGG
rnacentral:rRNA from 1 species